AGUCGAGCGGUAACAGGAAUUAGCUUGCUAAUUUGCUGACGAGCGGCGGGCGGGUGAGUAACGCGUAGGAAUCUGCCUGGUAGUGGGGGACAACAUGUGGAAACGCAUGCUAAUACCGCAUACGCCCUACGGGGGAAAGGAGGGGAUCUUCGGACCUUUCGCUAUCAGAUGAGCCUGCGUGAGAUUAGCUAGUUGGUGGGGUAAAGGCUCACCAAGGCGACGAUCUCUAGCUGGUCUGAGAGGAUGAUCAGCCACACUGGGACUGAGACACGGCCCAGACUCCUACGGGAGGCAGCAGUGGGGAAUAUUGGACAAUGGGCGCAAGCCUGAUCCAGCCAUGCCGCGUGUGUGAAGAAGGCCUUCGGGUUGUAAAGCACUUUCAGAAGUGAGGAAGGGUGUAUAGUUAAUACCUGUAUAUCUUGACGUUAGCUUCAGAAGAAGCACCGGCUAACUCUGUGCCAGCAGCCGCGGUAAUACAGAGGGUGCGAGCGUUAAUCGGAAUUACUGGGCGUAAAGCGCGCGUAGGCGGUUUGUUAAGUCGGAUGUGAAAUCCCCGGGCUCAACCUGGGAAUUGCACCCGAUACUGGCAGGCUAGAGUACGGUAGAGGGGUGUGGAAUUUCCUGUGUAGCGGUGAAAUGCGUAGAUAUAGGAAGGAACAUCAGUGGCGAAGGCGACACCCUGG
rnacentral:rRNA from 1 species